CACAGAUACCCCACAUUAUUAUAAACAGUUCUAUCAGUACUGCUAACGAUCUACCUAGCCCUCAUUCUUUCAGGUGGUGGCAGUGGAAAGUUACUAAAGAAAGCAGCAAAUAAACACCAAAUUAACCAUCGCCUAAAUCCUAUCCCAACAGUAAGAACUGUUGAAAGGAGAUGACACCAGGACUCCAAGAUGGUUAUCAGCUAUACUAGCAGAGAAGAAAAAUCUCAUGGAUGCCAAAUAGGGAGCUGCCAAGCUGGAUAUUGAUGUGGAAUUACCCCUAAAGGCGUUGUUGAAAGAUCUCAAAGAGGUUACUACCAGUAUUACAAAAAAAUACAGCACUGUGAAGACAGGGAGCCUGCUGUGGUUCAUAAGGCACUGACAGCUCAUGUGCUUUCCACCGGCAGCCUUGCCUCCAAGGAACUCAAAUGUGAGAAGUGACUUAAGUACCACAGAAAAGGACCUGAGUAGAGGUCCUCUACUCCAGUCCAUAGCCCACACUCCUGGCUAUGACGUCCUGGGCCCAACGCCCCUCCAGAUGAACUCAAUCAUUGCUGAAUCCUUGCAUAGCCUGACAAUAAUACCCAAUGCAAGGUGACUGAUAAAAAAGAAAAAGAAAAAAAAAAAGAAGUAAACGAAAAUUUGGAGAUGAAAGGACAUUGAAUUGUUCACUUACUCCAAUAAUGUGUUCACAGGCACAUUGAUAUUUUAUAGUCUUGCUACUCAAAAUGUGGUUCUCAGGCCAGCAUUACUAACAUCCCCUGAAAGCUCGUUAGAAAUGCAAAAUCAUAGUCUGCACCCCAGACCAGUAGAGUCAGAUUUUGCAGUUCGUUAUGAUCCCUGUAAGAAUCACAUGCACCAUGACAUUAGAGAAGCACUGUUUUAUAGAGAUAAGGAAGUUGCCCACUCCACAAGAUUGCGAUGACACUGCUGCUGAGAUAGUAAGCUAGACAUGUACCUCUCCACCUCUGGUACCCUCUGGUUCUCUCAACUGAAAUCCUGCUGGGUGCCAGAUGCUUCCCUGGAAUGCCUCACAAUAACCACAUUACCUACUUUCCUACAUCAUUGUGGCUGAACUUAAUUAGGUACUAAGAGGAAACUGAUAUGAUUAUCUCAUUAAAGGAAUAUCUCCCGCACUAAAGUGUGAAAAGCUGAUUGGAUUAACAUUCCCAGCAAGCGCUGACAUUAAAGGAAUUUGUUAACCCAAAUGGAUUUCUAAUGGGUAGUUUACAAGAAAGAGUUAUUUUUCAGCUGGGAAGGCUUCCAGGUAUCUAUUGUCCCAGCUCACUGCUGGCCACUUCUAGUAGAACAAUGAAUUGUUAGAAUCCACUUAUGGGCCAAAUCAUGUUAUAAUAAAUUAAACCAUGUUCAUCAAUGGUGAUGAGAGACUAAGUAGAACAGCUAAGAUCAAAUUACAUAUGACAUUAAAAAAAAAGAACAUAUGAAUAGAUAAAGCAGAUUUAGGAUUAGAAAAAGUAAAAGAGUAUCUCUUUUUUGAUGUUCAAAAAAAGUGAACUGAAAGGAAAUGAAAAAAUUGUAGACACUAAAAAGUAUACUUUCAGAUGAUAUCUAGAAAAAAAUAGAAGGGCUUAAAGAUAAGUAAAUAACAGUUAUAUCCAGAUUGCUUGGCUAUAUUUACUACUUAAAAAUUUAAAAAUAGGAAUAUUUAAUAAUAAGGUAUUUCUAACUUAAAUAAUAACGACAGCAUUACUGCCUACACAAUCCAAGAGGUAAUUUUGUAUGUGAAAAGAAUGUUUUUCAGUAGAAGCUUCUAGAACAAGCAAGCUACACGUUCUUGAAAGAAACUCCAAAUUUAAUUUAUCUGAUAAAUGUGAAAUAAAAGAAGUAUUUAUUUUUAUGUGUUCUCAUUGGGUAAAUAAACAGAUAAAGCUAUGGGAAAAAUAA
rnacentral:lncRNA from 1 species